rnacentral:tRNA from 1 species
GCCACUCGUUCGGCCAUUGAGCAGCUCACUCGCAAUGAGAUUAGGUCAGCGGUUCGAGUCCGCUCGUCGGCU